UCACACACAUAUAUAUGCAUGCAUACAUAUAUAUGCAUAUAUGUAGUAUCCAUAUAUAUGCAUAUAUAUAUGUAUGCAUGCAUAUAUAUAUGCAUAUAUGUGUGUGUGUGG
rnacentral:miRNA from 1 species